GCGAGGUGGUGCUAAUCCUAGAAAGUUCUUCGUAGUCCGGAUUGGAGUCUGCAACUCGACUCCAUGAAGUCGGAAUCGCUAGUAAUCGCGGAUCAGCAUGCCGCGGUGAAUACGUUCUCGGGUCUUGUACACACCGCCCGUCACACCAUGGAAGUGGAUUGCACCAGAAGUAGAUAGUCUAACCUUAGGGAGGGCGUUUACCACGGUGUGCUUCAUGACUGGGGUGAAGUCGUAACAAGGUAGCCGUAGGGGAACCUGUGGCUGGAUCACCUCCUU
rnacentral:rRNA from 1 species